AACUAACGCUGGCGGCGUGCCUAACACAUGCAAGUCGUACGAGAAAGCCGGCUUCGGCUGGUGAGUAAAGUGGCGCACGGGUGAGUAACGCGUGGAUAAUCUGCCCUUAAGUGUGGAAUAACGUACCGAAAGGUGCGCUAAUACCGCAUAAUGCCUGGCAACACAAGUUGUCCGGCCAAAAGAAGGCCUCUGUUUACAAGCUUUUCGCUUCAGGAUGAGUCCGCGUACCAUUAGCUUGUUGGUGGGGUAAUGGCCUACCAAGGCUGCGAUGGUUAGCUGGUCUGAGAGGAUGAUCAGCCACACUGGAACUGAGACACGGCCCAGACUCCUACGGGAGGCAGCAGUGGGGAAUUUUGGACAAUGGGCGAAAGCCUGAUCCAGCCAUGCCGCGUGAGCGAAGAAGGCCUUCGGGUUGUAAAGCUCUGUCUGGAGGGACGGAAGGAAGUAGACGGUACCGUCCGGACGGAAGACCGACGGCUAACGUACGUGCCACGACGAGCCGACGGUAAC
rnacentral:rRNA from 1 species